GGCAGGAGCUCCCACGCCUGCAGUCGUGGGGGACCUGGGGCCAAGGGCGACGCCAGGGUGUGGGCUGGGAGGAGGAUGGACUGCAUUUUCUGAAAGAGCUGGGAAGUUGUCUAUUGGUUUUUGUCAUGACCAUAAUAUUAUUUAAUGGAAGAUGGCAUUCUGUAGCCUUAGAAAAUAUCCUUCACCUCUUCAAGAAUGGCGAAUUUCAUACAUGUGAAUAAUCGUGGCCAGUGAAAAUAUGAGUGGAAGUGAUGUAUUUCAUUCCUGCAUGGAAGCAUGGAAGAGCUGGAACAUGAUUCUCCACUAUAUAUUCCCUGCGGUGGUGAUUAUGGAAGUACCCAAAGGCCAGAGUCACAAGAAUGAUGAGCCAUUGUGUGGAAGACAGUUGUCCUGGUUGCCACCCAGGUGAAGAGUCUUUGCGGUUUUAAGUCACUGAGAUUUAAGGUUGUUGUUUUAUUACUGUAGCAUAACCAUGCCUAUUCUAAUAAAUACAGCACACAUAUUUAAAAAUGACCAGUGUGGCUUGGUUGGGUGUUGUCCCAUAAAAUGAAAGGUCACCAGUUUAGUUCCCAAUCAAAGCAUGUACCUGGGUUGAUAGCUAUCCCCCAUCAGGGCAUGUACCGGAGGCAACUGAUCAAUGUUUCCCUCUCUCCCUUCCCCUCUCUAGAAUAAGUAAAUAAAAUCCUUUAAAAUAUAUAUACAUACAUAUAUAUAUAUAUAUGUAUGUACACGGUCUGACCGAAGUAAUGCCUGCUUGAUUGUGAUUGUGGUUGGUAGGGUAAUAAUAUGAGUGUAAUAAUUUAUAGUUUUAAUUUGAACAUUU